GGGAAUAUUGCACAAUGGGCGCAAGCCUGAUGCAGCCAUGCCGCGUGUAUGAAGAAGGCCUUGGUUGUAAAGUACUUUCAGCGGGGAGGAAGGUGUUGUGGUUAAUAACCGCAGCAAUUGACGUUACCCGCAGAAGAGGCACCGGCUAACUCCGUGCCAA
rnacentral:rRNA from 1 species